rnacentral:tRNA from 1 species
GUUUCUGUAGUGUAGUGGUUAUCAUGUUCGCCUCACACGCGAAAGGUCCCCGGUUCGAAACAAGCUGAAUCU